ensembl:lncRNA
ACAAUUAAAAAAAUAAAAUAAAAAUAAACAAGCAAUUCAAGGAACUGAUAUAAUGCUGGAAUUGUACAAUAUGCCAUGUGCAACAAAAAGGCAAAUUUAUGAAAUAGUGCAUGAAAGGAUUCAAUGAUGACCAUUAGAGUGAUUUCUGGUGACUGCAUGUGUUAUAAUUAAAAAAGAGAACUAAGAGACAUGCUCCUUUUAAAUGUGUUUGUGGCGAGUUAUUUCCUGUACGUGUUUCCUCUUCACCAACAUUUAAGAGCAGUACAUCCUUCAAGACUCAAAGCACUGUCUGCUGUCCAUCAGUCAUCAUGAAUCUAAUAACAGCAUUUCUGCUAAUGAUCCUCACAGGACAUGGCACAUCUGAUUAUGUGCAGAAACUCUUCUGCCCCUAUGAGAACAAGAAUAUAACUCUGAAAAAGUUUAGGGUGUGGUGCAAAAGAGAUGCCACGAAUGAAAACUGCUGUUCGGGCAUCUCAUUCCCGGAAAGCGUCAAUGUUUUGGAGCAAGGCAACAUAGCUGUGGAGGAUGAUGGAAAGUCAUUCACCGUCUCCGUAAAGACAUUCACACAAGGGGAUGGAGUCUACUGGUGUGGGUUCAUGACUGAAGGCAACAUCAUCAUUAAACUGGCUGAGGAUUACUUUACCAACACUCCAUUUAAUUUUGUUUGGUCCAUCCUCCGCUGGAUUUUGUUUAUUUUCAUCCUUGUGAUGAGCAUCUCAACUCACAUUUAUUCCAACAUGAGAAAUAGAGAUACAAAGAAAGCAUAA